rnacentral:rRNA from 1 species
AUACGAGGGGUCCAAGCGUUGCUCGGAAUCAUUGGGCGUAAAGCGGGUGUAGGUGGCUUUGAAAGUCAGAAGUGAAAGCCCCGGGCUCAACCCGGGAAGUGCUUUUGAAACUACUUAGCUUGAGUGUAGGAGAGGGCAGUAGAAUUCCUGGUGUAGUGGUGAAAUACGUAGAUAUCAGGAGGAAUACCGGAGGGGAAGCCGGCUGCCUGGCCUAACACUGACACUCAGACCCGAAAGCGUGGGGAUC